rnacentral:rRNA from 1 species
GCAAGUCGAGCGGUAACAUUUCAAAAGCUUGCUUUUGAAGAUGACGAGCGGCGGACGGGUGAGUAAUGCCUAGGAAAUUGCCCUGAUGUGGGGGAUAACCAUUGGAAACGAUGGCUAAUACCGCAUGAUGCCUACGGGCCAAAGAGGGGGACCUUCGGGCCUCUCGCGUCAGGAUAUGCCUAGGUGAGAUUAGCUAGUUGGUGAGGUAAUGGCUCACCAAGGCGACGUCCCCUAGCUGGUCUGAGAGGAUGAUC